CUUCUCUUGUGGAUAUCCUAUGUGUAGCGGAUUGGUCUUGGGAGGAAACUUACUGGAUGUUUUACUUUCGUCCCGCUGAAUGUGCCUUGUUUUCUCUAAUGGCUCAGUGUUAAAAAUGCAAUAUAUGAAGCCUCCUUAAAUGCUGUGAAAUUGAAGACUAUGCUAGCUUUAGUGUACUAAUAAUCUUAAUUUUAAUAAUGACAGGAGGCAAGUAUUUUCCCUCCCUUACCUCUCCCUUUGUGUUUGUUUCAUGAUUUGCAUUGUGAUUACUGCU